rnacentral:rRNA from 1 species
GACGAACGCUGGCGGCGGGCUUAACACAUGCAAGUCGAACGGAAAGGCCCUGCUUUUGUGGGGUGCUCGAGUGGCGAACGGGUGAGUAACACGUGAGUAACCUGCCCUUGACUUUGGGAUAACUUCAGGAAACUGGGGCUAAUAUCGGAUAGGAGCUCCUGCUGCAUGGUGGGGGUUGGAAAUUUUCGGCGGGUGGGGAUGGACUCGCGGCUUAUCAGCUUGUUGGUGGGGUAGUGGCUUACCAAGGCUUUGACGGGUAGCCGGCCUGAGAGGGUGACCGGCCACAUUGGGACUGAGAUACGGCCCAGACUCCUACGGGGGGCAGCAGGGGGAAAUAUUGCACAAUGGGCGGAAGCCUGAUGCAGCAACGCCGCGUGCGGGAUGACGGCCUUCGGGUUGUAAACCGCUUUCGCCUGUGACGAAGCGUGAGUGACGGUAAUGGGUAAAGAAGCACCGGCUAACUACGUG